CGCCUUGCCAGCCCGCUCAGAAACUUAAAUGAAUUGACGGGGGCCCGCACAAGCGGUGGAGCAUGUGGUUUAAUUCGAUGAUACGCGAGGAACCUUACCUGGGCUCAAAUGUAUGUUGACGUAUUCUGAAAGGGAUACUUCUUCGGACAAUAUACAAGGUGCUGCAUGGUUGUCGUCAGCUCGUGCCGUGAGGUGUCGGGUUAAGUCCCAUAACGAGCGCAACCCCUAUCAUUAGUUGCCAUCAGGUCAAGCCGGGGACUCUAAUGAAACUGCCUACGCAAGUAGUGAGGAAGGUGGGGACGACGUCAAAUCAGCACGGCCCUUACGUCCAGGGCUACACACGUGCUACAAUGGCCGGUACAAAGGGCAGCUACCUGGUGACAGGAUGCUAAUCUCAAAAGCCGGUCUCAGUUCGGAUCGGAGUCUGCAACCCGACUCCGUGAAGUUGGAAUCGCUAGUAAUCGCGCAUCAGCAUAGCGCGGUGAAUACGUUCCCGGGCCUU
rnacentral:rRNA from 1 species